ACGGUAGCAAUAUUGUCCCUAGAGUGGCGCAAGGGUGCGCAACACGUAUGGAACCUGCCCACGGCCGGGGCACAGCCCCCCGAAAGGGGGAUUAACGCCCCAUAGGAAAACGAGAGGGCAUCUUUUUGUUUUUAAACCACGGGGCCGUGGAUGGCCAUGCGCUCGAUUAGCUAGUUGGCGGUGCAACGGACCACCAAGGCGAUGAUCGAUAGGGGACCUGAGAGGGUGAUCCCCCACACUGGCACUGAGAUACGGGCCAGACUCCUACGGGAGGCAGCAGUAGGGAAUAUUGGACAAUGGGUGAGAGCCUGAUCCAGCCAUGCCGCGUGCAGGAAGAAGGCCUUCUGGGCUGUAAACUGCUUUUGCCGGGGGAUAAAAGGCCCCUGCGGGGGACAUUGAAGGUACCCGGUGAAUAAGCCACGGCUAACUACGUGCC
rnacentral:rRNA from 1 species